ACUUGACAUCAAUGACACAAAGAGAUUUCUGCACUUCUAUGUUCAUUGACGCCUUAUUCACAAUAGCCAAGACGUGGAAGCAACCUAAAUGUUCACUAACAGAUGAAUGGAUAA